UAUGUUUCAAAUGAUUUAUCGCCAUAGGAUGGGACUGCGUCCUAUCAGUUUGUUGGUGAGGUAAUGGCCCACCAAGACUAUUACAGGUACGGGCUCUGAGAGGAGUAGCCCGGAGAUGGGUACUGAGACACGGACCCAGGCCCUAUGGGGCGCAGCAGGCGAGAAAACUUUGCAAUGUGCGAAAGCACGACAAGGUUAAUCCGAGUGGUCUCUGCUAAAGAAACCUUUUGUCAGUCCUAGAAACACUAACGAAUAAGGGGUGGGCAAGUUCUGGUGUCAGCCGCCGCGGUAAAACCAGCACCUCAAGUGGUCAGGAUGAUUAUUGGGCCUAAAGCAUCCGUAGCUUGCUUUGUAAGUUCUCGGUUAAAUCCAUACGCUUAACGUAUGGGCUGCCGGCAAUACUGCAAAGCUAGGGAGUGGGAGAGGUAGACGGUACUCGGUAGGAAGGGGUAAAAUCCUUUGAUCUAUUGAUGACCACCUGUGGCGAAGGCGGUCUACCAGAACACGUCCGACGGUGAGGGAUGAAAGCUGGGGGAGCAAACCGGAUUAGAUACCCGGGUAGUCCCAGCUGUAAACUAUGCAAACUCAGUGAUGCAUUGGCUUGUGGCCAAUGCAGUGCUGCAGGGAAGCCGUUAAGUUUGCCGCCUGGGAAGUACGUACGCAAGUAUGAAACUUAAAGGAAUUGGCGGGGGAGCACCACAAGGGGUGAAGCCUGCGGUUC
rnacentral:rRNA from 1 species